AUGCCUGUACCAUAACCGACACAGGUGGGUAGGUAGAGUAUACUAAGGGGCGCGAGAUAACUCUCUCUAAGGAACUCGGCAAAAUGACUCCGUAACUUCGGGAGAAGGAGUGCCUUAUUUAUAAGGUUGCAAUAACAAGAUCCAAGCAACUGUUUAUCAAAAACACAGGUCUCCGCUAAGUCGUAAGACGAUGUAUGGGGGCUGACGCCUGCCCAGUGCCAGAAGGUUAAAGAAGUUGGUUAGUGUAUGCGAAGCUGAUGACUGAAGCCCUGGUGAACGGCGGCCGUAACUAUAACGGUCCUAAGGUAGCGAAAUUCCUUGUCGGGUAAGUUCCGACCCGCACGAAAGGCGUAAUGAUUUGGAUACUGUCUCGGAGAGAGGCUCGGUGAAAUAGACUUGUCUGUGAAGAUGCGGACUACCUGCACCAGGACAGAAAGACCCUAUGAAGCUUUACUGUAACUUGAAAUUGGAAUUGGACUUUGCUUGCGCAGUAUAGGUGGGAAGCGUUGAAGAUAUUCUUGCGGGAGUAUUGGAGCUAUCAGUGAGAUACCACUCUUGUAAUGUUAGAUUUCUAACUUUGAACCAUAAUCUGGUCAAAGAACAGUUUCAGGUGGGCAGUUUGACUGGGGCGGUCGCCUCCCAAAUGGUAACGGAGGCGUACAAAGGUUUCCUCUGAACGGAUAGAAAUCGUAUCUAGAGUGUAAAGGCAUAAGGAAGCUUGACUGUGAGACCUACAAGUCGAGCAGGGACGAAAGUCGGUCUUAGUGAUCUGACGGUACUGAGUGGAAAGGCCGUCACUCAACGGAUAAAAGUUACUCUAGGAUAACAGGCUGAUCUCCCCCAAGAGUUCACAUCGACGGGGAGGUUUGGCACCUCGAUGUCGGCUCAUCGCAUCCUGGGGCGGUUACGUCCCAAGGGUUGGGCUGUUCGCCCAUGAAAGCGGUACGCGAGCUGGGUUCAGAACGUCGUGAGACAGUUCGGUCCAUAUCCGGUGUAGGCGUUAGAAUAUUGAGAGGAGCCUUCUUUAGUACGAGAGGACCGAGAAGGACACACCGCUGGUGUACCAGUUAUCGUGCCAACGGUAAACGCUGGGUAGCUAUGUGUGGAGUGGAUAACCGCUGAAAGCAUCUAAGUGGGAAGCCCACCUCAAGAUGAGUAUUCUCAUCACUAUAAGUGAGUAAGGUCACGGUAAGACUAACCGUUUGAUAGGCAUUAAGUGUAAAUGUAGUAAUGCAUGUGCUGAGAUGUCCUAACAGACCGAGGACUUGAAU
rnacentral:rRNA from 1 species